rnacentral:rRNA from 1 species
GACGAACGCUGGCGGCGUGCUUAACACAUGCAAGUCGAACGGUGAAGCGCCUUCCUUUUUGGUGGGUGUGGAUGAGUGGCGAACGGGUGAGUAACACGUGAGUAACCUGCCCCCUUCUUCUGGAUAACCGCAUGAAAGUGUGGCUAAUACGGGAUAUUCUGGGUCUGUCGCAUGAUGGGUCUGGGAAAGAUAUUGUUUCGGUGGGGGAUGGGCUCGCGGCCUAUCAGCUUGUUGGGGGGGUGAUGGCCUACCAAGGCGGUGACGGGUAGCCGGCCUGAGAGGGUGGACGGGCACACUGGGACUGAGACACGGCCCAGACUCCUACGGGAGGCAGCAGUGGGGAAUAUUGCACAAUGGGCGCAAGCCUGAUGCAGCGACGCCGCGUGAGGGAUGGAGGCCUUCGGGUUGUGAACCUCUUUCGCCAGUGAAGCAGGCCUGCCUCGUUUGUGGGUGGGUUGACGGUAGCUGGAUAAGAAGCGCCGGCUAACUACGUG